UUUUUGAAAUAUCAAAUUCGUAUUUUUGAGCAAAAGAUAUUGAUUUUUCUUAGUUAAUUAUAUUAAAUUUUGGUCUAAAACAAGGCUUUUCGCUAGGGAUUUUCUUUAGUGUCUAAACAGAAGUUAGAUUAGUUAAACAUGGUUUUAGUUUUGGAAAAUUUAUUAUUAAUGUUGUUUUUUAUGACCUUAAUGAGCCUGCAAAGCCAGGGGAUCAGACCUAUGAGUUCAUUUUAAGGAUUGCUACAUUGACAUCUGCUCCCCAGAGGUUCUAAUAAUUUUUACUGACAAUUUUGAUUACCAACAUCUAUGGUGCCAUUUUGUCAAGGGAUUGCUUGUUGAUGAUUGUCUUUAUGAGUCUUUUGAGGAAGAAGCUGGAUAUUUUCAGUUUGCUACGACAAUAACAUCGAAUGAUAUUGAUGAGAUAUAGAAGUUUCUUGAUGCUGCUGUUGAUGCAAGGUAUUCACUUUUUAGCUUUUAGUAAAUUAGUUAUUCUAGUUCCCUUGAUGAUGACCCAAAUAGCAAUGAGCUCUUCUUUUUACCCCCAAGUCCAGGUGGUUAGGCCUAGAG